rnacentral:rRNA from 1 species
GGGCACUUUAAAGAGACUGCCGGUGUUAAGCCGGAGGAAGUGGGAUGACGUCAAGUCCUCAUGGCCUUUAUGCCCAGGGCUACACACGUGCUACAAUGGGUGGUACAAAGAGCAGCGAACUCGCGAGAGUAAGCGAAUCUCAAAAAGCCAUCCUCAGUUCGGAUUGAAGUCUGCAACUCGACUUCAUGAAGUUGGAAUCGCUAGUAAUCGCGGAUCAGCAUGCCGCGGUCGAAUACGUUCCCGGGCCUU